GACGAACGCUGGCGGCGUGCCUAAUACAUGCAAGUCGAACGCACAGUCUAUACCGUAGCUUGCUACACCAUAGACUGUGAGUUGCGAACGGGUGAGUAACGCGUAGGUAACCUGCCUGGUAGCGGGGGGUAACUAUUGGAAACGAUAGCUAAUACCGCCUAAUACUAAUUAUUGCAUGGUAAUUAUUUGAAAGGUGCAAUUGCACCACUACCAGAUGGACCUUCGUUGUAUUAGCUAGUAGGUGAGGUAACGGCUCACCUCGGCGGGGAUACAGAGCCCACAGGAGAGGGUGGGCGGCCAGACUGGGAGGGAGACACGGCACAUACUCCCUCAGGAGGCAGCAGGAGGGAAUCUGGGGCAAGGGACGGAAGUCUGUCCGAGCAACGCCGCGGGAGUGAAGAAGGUUUUCGGGUCGUAAAGCUCUGUUGUAAGAGAAGAACGGGUGUGAGAGUGGAAAGUUCACUCUGUGACGGUAACUUACAAGAAAGCAGCGGCUAACUACGUG
rnacentral:rRNA from 1 species